GGGGGGUGAAUUAGGUGUUAGUAAAUUUUCUUGUUUUUAGUGAUAUGGUAAUCAGAUUUUCUGAGUUUAAGAACAAGGCUUAAUAACAAGUGCAGUAAGUAAAUGAACACGGUAAGAUUUAUCCUGGUUCCCCUUAUAACCAAGGGUACGUCCAGUCCUCUUGCACACCACAAGAGAUUAAUCAACUACUUGUCAGAAAAUGUACAAUUCCCACCCUGGGAUUCUUGCUACAAAACUUCUAACAAUUCUUCUAAGAUAGCACACCACUAUCUUACUUGUACAAAUGAUACAAUAAGG
rnacentral:lncRNA from 1 species